rnacentral:lncRNA from 1 species
UCUCUCUCAACCUCACGCGUUCCUGCAUUCAAAUGAUCCAAAAAAGAAAACAAGUUUAAGGACAAAAAUAGAAUUGAGCUAGAAAUCGGCAUUAAUUGGUUCACAGAAAUAGGCAAAAAGGAAUCGGAUUGAGAGAGAACUUGACGCGCUGCGACAUUUCACAAUUGUCGUUGUGUGAGAGCAAGCUUCGGCCGACCGCCGCCCUAUCAACUAGCUCCCUCGGCGCCUCCCUCAAGCAACCGCCGCCGCUGCCCUCUCGCCUAGCUCCCUCAGAGCCGUCGGCAUCCGCAUCUCUCUCAGCGCUGCCUCCCUCAAGCAACCGCCGUCACCCUCUCGACUCCCUCGCCGCCUCCCUCACGCCGCCACCCUCUUGAUUCUUUCGGCGUAUCAAGCAAUCACCGCCGCCGUCGACCCUUUUUUCCACCGGAGAGAGAGAGAGAUAGAGUAAUAGAUUUGGAAAAGAGAGUAGUGAAAAAAGUGUUUUGUGUUAAUUAAGGAAAAAUAAGGGGUAUAAUUAAUUUUACUAAUUAAGGACUUAAAUUGCCUAAUUUUUG